AGUAACACGUGGAUAACCUACCUAUAAGACUGGGAUAACUUCGGGAAACCGGAGCUAAUACCGGAUAAUAUUUUGAACCGCAUUGUUCAAAAGUGAAAGACGGUCUUGCUGUCACUUAUAGAUGGAUCCGCGCUGCAUUAGCUAGUUGGUAAGGUAACGGCUUACCAAGGCAACGAUGCAUAGCCGACCUGAGAGGGUGAUCGGCCACACUGGGACUGAGACACGGCCCAG
rnacentral:rRNA from 1 species